rnacentral:lncRNA from 1 species
UACGAACCCCGAAAAAUUGGGGUUGCAUAGUAAACACGGCAAAGUGUAACAAACCCCUGUGAUGCAUGUAAACCCUUUAAUCAGUCCAAGAACGGAAGCAAGACAACUCGACCUGCCGACAAAUCUCCCCACUUUUUCACCAACUCGCCCCACUUUUAACAGUUUAAAAAAAUCCCCCCACUAAAUGAAAAGUGUUUAAUCCUGUCAAAUAUACUCCUGCCAAAUCCCCACUUGUGAAAAUGAGUAAAAUCCAGAUUAAUAUUAAAAAAAAGUCAAAAGAACACUGUUCAUGCUGUUAAACCCUGUUAAAUGGGUAACAAUGUU